CCAUGGACAGUAGCCCGCCCGGCUCCUCCGUCCAUGGGAUUCUCCAGGCAAGAAUACUGGAGUGGGUUGCCAUUUCCUUCUCCAGGGGACCUUCCCAACCCAAGGAUCAAACCUGGGUCUCCUGCAUUGUAGGCGGAUUCUUUUCCAUCUGAGCAAAACAUCUUGGUGUCAAAUCUUUUUUUUUUUUUCCCUCUGAGUCUUUCCUAAUGAACCUAUUUGCAUGGCAGCAAACGGUGAGGAGAUACCCCUGGUCCAAGCGUCCUCCUGUUGAUGACUGUCAGCGACUGCUCUGGCAGGAGGAGAUGAACGUGUGUCCUUCUACUCCGCCAUCUUGAACUGGAAACUGCGAUCCCCCUUAGCUGGUCUUAGCCUCAGCCGUUUUCCUGUCUUUUUCCAUCCAAGGCCCUGCAGGACCUGUGAACAGUGAUGAGUAGAUUUCAGGAGAUGUAUCCUGGCAGAACAGGUACAAGCGAGGGAGAGUCCCGCUCACUGAGCGUGCUCAUUUGCUUCGGUGGUGUCUGACUCUUUGCAACCUUAUGGACUGUAGCCCACCAGGCUCCUCUGUCCAUGGGAUUCUCCAGCCAAGAAUACUGAACUGGGUUGCCAUGCCCUCCUCCAGGGGGUCUUCUGGACCCAGGGAUCAAACCCAAGUCUCUUAUGUCUGCUGCACUGGCAGGCGUGUUCUUUACCACUAGUGCCGCCUGGGAAGUGGUUAUAAGUUUCCAACAAGGGCCCCUCUCCUAUGUCUGGUACCUUAACCAGGAAUGUGUCCCUCAGGCUUGGGACUUCAUCAACUGAACUGAGGCUCUCCGCUCCACUGAGCGCGACCUCUGUCUAGCAGCAAGCAGAUGUGGCUGAAGGGCUGGUGAACCGACGAUGGCACACAGGGCCAGGUCUGAGGGCCUCUUGGGUCUUCAGUCUCGAGUCGGGCGAGCAAUGAGCACAGCAAGCUUCUGCGGAGAAGCAGGGUGUGUGUAGGCCAGGUGGAAUUCGCUGACGGCGGGGGGAAAGUCCGUGUGCAGGGUGGGGUUAGCGUAAUGUACGCCCUGAGGAUUUAGAACUUUCUUCCUUUCGAGGGGUGUGGCGUGGAACGUUUGAGGUCCACCUCUCGGAAAAGGACCCAAUGGACAACCCGCAGCCUGCUUUGUUUAUGUGCCCAGGAGCGGACGCUGCGUUGGAUGGGACGGGGGCCCCUUGAAAUGGGCAUCUUGUUCUCUAAAUUACGAAUAUCUACUUGGAGACUGGAUUGCCUCACUGUGUUGCUAAGAUCGUGGCCUCUGGAAGCUCUCUGGUUCCGGGAGAGGGGCAGGGGGCAACCUCAACCUCUGAAAGAAAACCCGGUCCUGCCAUGGCUAGUAUGGAAGCCGCUAGCCAACAUGGCUGUUGAGCCCUUGAAAGACGGCUGGUCCAAACUGAAAUAUAAGAGAAAGAUACACUUCAGAUGUAGAAGACUUCCUGUGGGAAAAAAGAAUAGAACAUAGCUUAUUACUAAUUUUAAAACAUUGAUUACAUGUUGAAGUGAC
ensembl:lncRNA